rnacentral:rRNA from 1 species
AUGUGUCGAAUCAAUAAAUUUGGGUUGAAUACUCUACCCUCGAAAACUGUUGCGAUCCCCUAUACUUGUGGGCUAUCAGUACUUCCUUGGGAAUGUGUGGCUCCUAUGUGUGGAUUUCAAGCUAAGGGGAACGGGUUCUUCUAUAUCCAUGAUGCUAGUACACCUAAGCAGAACACUGAUAGGAACAGAUAUAUUGUGAUUACUGUGAUUGAGGGGCAGGCUAAUGGCAGGCAGUUGGAGGAAUUUUUUAAUGCUUACAUUAAUACAAAUUGGAAAUGUUCAGCCAGAUCGAUUGGGUUCAAUACUUUUGUUAUGAGAUUAUCCUCUCCCAGAGAUGUGGACAAGGCUUGUUUUGCUGAAACCAUGAAUAUAAAAAGUUGUGGGGCUGUGGUGAGUCUUAAGAAGUGGUAUGAAUCUGUUGGUGCCAAAGGUGUACUUAACAUUGCUUGGGUCAAUGUUAGCAACAUCCUCUGGACAAAAGACAUGAAAAAAACAUAG